ensembl:lincRNA
GCGCGCUCCACCAGGGAACUAAGGGGACCACACGCAAGCAAUCAGCCAUUCAGCAGCUCUCUAAUUGCUUCACAGUUGGAAGUGUGUUCUCCUCAGCCACUGUUAUUCUUUUAGGAGGAAUUGUUGGUGCACUUGCCUAUCUCAAAUCAAGGGCGGCUAAGGCAGAUAAGCUGCUUGAAGAAACUCCCUUUGUUUUAUAGGGCCUCGUGAGCCAUCCUGCAUGGGGGCACUCCCUGGUCGUGGCUGAUCAGAAAUCCCCAGUGCUGGGUGCCCAGAGGGAGGCUGGCGCUGGGUCCCCGCAACCUUUGUUAUCUCCCGGCAAAGCGAUUCCCCUGAAGAGGGAAAAAUAAACUCCCAACUCAUAAAGAUCCUGUUAGCCCCUGCUUGAGAACCUUUCUUCAGGGCGUCCUACUGAGCAGAAGAAUAGAUUCAGGGCAUCAGGUUAGAUGUCUGAAUGCCGUCCGUGGUCCUGCCAGUCUCUGAGCAGCCGGAAGCGGCCCUGGGAGGUAUCCCUGUCGGGGUAUAAUCAGGUCACACAGGUGUCUGGUGGAAUUUUCCUAUGGAUCUGUGUGGUCACAGGAAACUUUGGACCCAGUUCUACUCCAUUAGGGGUAAGUCAUCAGCUUAAAAAUGUUUCCAUUUUGUCCUGAUUUUACUAACCGUACCAUCUUUCUGUA